UAGGGAAUCUUCGGCAAUGGACGGAAGUCUGACCGAGCAACGCCGCGUGAGUGAAGAAGGUUUUCGGAUCGUAAAGCUCUGUUGUUAGAGAAGAACGUUGGUAGGAGUGGAAAAUCUACCAAGUGACGGUAACUAACCAGAAAGGGACGGCUAACUACGUGCCAGCAGCCGCGGUAAUACGUAGGUCCCGAGCGUUGUCCGGAUUUAUUGGGCGUAAAGCGAGCGCAGGCGGUUCUUUAAGUCUGAAGUUAAAGGCAGUGGCUUAACCAUUGUACGCUUUGGAAACUGGAGGACUUGAGUGCAGAAGGGGGGAGUGGAAUUCCAUGUGUAGCGGUGAAAUGCGUAGAUAUAUGGAGGAACACCGGUGGCGAAAGCGGCUCUCUGGUCUGUAACUGACGCUGAGGCUCGAAAGCGUGGGGAGCAAACGGG
rnacentral:rRNA from 1 species